rnacentral:rRNA from 1 species
AUGAGGAUGGUAAGGACAAGAGGAAGAAGAAGAAGAAGAAAAGUAAAAAAGGAAGAUUCUGAUGAGGAGUUGCUUCUUCCAGAUUCAGAUGACGAGAACUUCAAUUUUAAGUUCAAUUCUUUUGCUGAACAUGACAUGGCAGACCCGGAGUUCAAGAUUGGAAUGACUUUUUCAACAGUUGAGCAGUUGAGAGAAGCAAUAUCUGAGUAUAGCAUAAAGAAUAGAGUGGCUUUGCACAAGACUAGAAAUUGUAGAACCAGGGUUGAGGUGGUCUGUGCUGAAGGUUGCCCCUGGUAUUUGUAUGUGACAGAAGACAGCAGGUCCAAGAGCUUGCUUGUGAAGAGAUAUGUUAAUGAGCACACAUGUAGCAGAGAGUGGGCUAUCAAGGCAAUGACUGCUCCCUAUCUUGCCAAAAAAUAUGUGGAAGAAAUAAGAGACAAUGAGAACAUUGAUGCAAAGUCAUUUGGCAAUAAGGUGCAAAAGGACUACAAUUUGGCUCCUGGCAGAAUGAAGCUGCAAAGGGCAAAGAAGAGAGCAAUGGCUAUUAUCAGAGGAGAUGAGGAGAAGCAAUAUAAUUUGCUUUGGGAUUAUGCGGAAGAGAUUAGGAGAUCAAACCCUGGGAGCAGUGUCUUUCUUAAUUUGGAUGCAAAUGGUUUGUUUGAAACUAUGUACUUUUCUCUUGAUGCAUGCAAGAGGGGCUUUCUGGAUGGUUGCAGGCCAAUUCUUUUCUUUGAUGGUUGUCACUUGAAGACAAGGCAUGGUGGUGUUAUGUUGACAGCAAUAGGUAUUGACCCUAAUGAUUGUAUCUUCCCAAUUGCCAUGGCUGUGGUAGAUGUAGAGUGCAAAAACAGUUGGAAAUGGUUCAUGAACACUUUGAAGCAUGACCUGAACAUCCACGACCACACGGCAGCCUUUACUCUUAUGUCAGAUAAGCAGAAAGGGUUGAUACUUGCAGUGCAGGAAGAAUUUCCAGACAGUGAACAUAGGUUCUGUGUAAGACAUCUCUACCAAAACUUUAACACGAUUCACAAGGGGGAAGUUUUGAAGAAUCAACUUUGGGCUUGUGCAAGAUCUAGUAACAAGCCACAAUAUGAAAGAAACAUGGACAAAUUGAAGGCUCUGAGUCCUGAAGCAUAUGCAUGGCUUGAUAAGCACCCACCAAACCAAUGGUGUAGGGCUUUCUUUGAUUGUUUCUGUAAGAGUGAAACACUCCUCAAUAAUCAUUGUGAAGUGUUCAACAAAUAUAUACUAGAUGCAAGAGAGCUUCCAAUCAUGAGUAUGUGGGAAAAGAUUAGGGGCCAGAUUAUGCACAGGAUGUAUGAUUAUGCAAACACUUGUGAGAACAAAUGGACUGGCAACAUUUGCCCCAAAAUCAUGGACAAGAUGCGUAAAAAUGAGGACUAUGCUAGUGAUUGUUUUGCUUAUCCUUCUGACCACAGAGUAUACGAAGUGAAGAGCAAAGAUAACACCUAUGAGGUGAAGAUGAAUGAAAAAACUUGUGAUUGCAGAAGAUGGCAACUAACGGCCAUUCCAUGUUCGCAUGCCAUUUCCUGCAUGGGAAAAGAGAGAAUAAAGCCAGAAACCCAGAUAGCUAGUUUAUAUACAAGAGAAAGGUACAUGAAAGCAUAUGGAAAUACUGUUUGGCCAGUAAGGGAUAAAUCUUUCUGGGAAAAGACACAUGGUAGGGAUGUGGGAGCACCUUUGUAUGAAAAGGAAGCUGGGAGGAAAUCAAACAAAAGGAGAGAGCACCCAUCGGAGAAGGAGGAAGGGACGAGACUUAGCAAGCAUGGUGUGAAGAUGCAUUGCAGCUUUUGUAGGGAUCCUAAUCACAAGAGGCCUUCAUGCCCUGAAUUACAUCCCGAACUCAAGUUGGAACCACAAAGGAGGACAAAUGAUGAUGACAAUGUUGGUGAUCCUUUUGUGGUAGAGGUAAAGAAAACUAUAUAA